rnacentral:rRNA from 1 species
UACGUAGGGGGCAAGCGUUAUCCGGAUUUACUGGGUGUAAAGGGGGCGCAGACGGCGAUGCAAGCCAGGAGUGAAAGCUCGGGGCCCAACCCCGGGACUGCUCUUGGAACUGCGUGGCUGGAGUGCAGGAGGGGCAGGCGGAAUUCCUGGUGUAGCGGUGAAAUGCGUAGAUAUCAGGAGGAACACCGGUGGCGAAGGCGGCCUGCUGGACUGCAACUGACGUUGAGGCCCGAAAGCGUGGGGAGCAAACAGG